GCCCCUUCAGUAAUAUUUGCAGCUAGAACUAAUUUUCUUGAGCGCUUGUGUUGCUUUACUUCUGAGUUAGAAUCAGCACCUUGAUUCAUAGUGCUCACAUUCUUCUUCCACCAGCCUCUUUUAGGAUCACNNNCAGUAAGGCUUUGACUGAUAGAUGGGGAAGAUGCACCUGUAACACUACCAGUUUCUGGUCUCAAUCCUGUAAGUUCUCUCACACGUGCUAAUGGCAGCGUUACCUUCUU
rnacentral:misc_RNA from 1 species